UUGAUGUUUUAUUAAUUUAAUUUUAUUGUUGAAAUAUUAAAUUUUAUAUUUUAUUUAACAGCACGCUCUUAAUAAAUAUAAGGAGAUGUGCCCUUCAUUUAUUGAUUCCAGAGAAUGCAAAUUGUUAACGACACUCAUACAGAAAUUGGAAGAACAAGAUCUAGAUGGAUUUACAGAUGCAGUGAAAGAUUAUGAUUCAAUAUCCAGAUUGGAUCAGUGGUAUACCACUAUACUCUUGCGGAUAAAAAAGUCAA